GUCGUCAUCACCCUGAGCCCCGAAGCGGCGGCGGCGGCGGCCGCCAUGCGGAAGUCGUGCCGGGUUCAACGCUGCUGCAGCGCCGCCGGGCAGCCCCGGGGCUCCGAGCGCCGCUUCAGCUUCUCCGAAAACUGACAGUUCCCACCGAAAAAGCCCCCUAUGGCCACCAGGUGAUGUGGGGAAAACCGCAGGUGACACCGGGACAACUGCCUGCCCCCACAUUUGUCCCUGUCACCGUGGAACCUGGCGCCAUCCCAACCCUCAUCUAUGCUGAGAGCUCCGUCAGCAUCCUAAAGUUCCGGGAGCCGGGUGACGCCGUCUCCCUGACUUCCCCCGGUGUCCCCAGCCGUUCUCCCUGCUGCGGUGGUGCAACUGGAGGGCUGUGACAUCCUCAUCAAAGAGGCCUGCCUCCAGCCGGACCUGGUAACACUGGAGCUCUCUGGCGCUGUCACCAUUAUGUGCCACAAGGAUGGGGACGUGGUGGUGUACUCUGCUGCCACCAGAGGGGACCGUGUGUGACAUCAGCGUGGAACAGCUGUCAUCGCUGCUGGGUGUUGCUUUUGUCAACAUGCAUGGGGUGUCACUGCUGGGGACACCUCUGUGUCACCCCUUCCAUGUCACACCCCAAAGUUGGAGGCACCCCUCUGCAGAUCCCCCGGUGUCCGUCCUUCUGACCGCAUUGUUCCCAUGCGGGGGUGGGUGGAGUUGAGGGGGGCACACACUUUAUUUUUGUAAAUAAGAUUUAUUUUGUGAUAAGGUGGACUGGGAGACGCCGCCCCCCCAGACCUCUGCAUGAAUAAAAGGCAGAGGAGCGGCUGUGGGGCUCUGCAUGUCACACCGGGGG
rnacentral:lncRNA from 1 species